CGUAGAUUGAACGCUGGCGGCAGGCCUAACACAUGCAAGUCGAGCGGAAACGAGUUAUCUGAACCUUCGGGGAACGAUAACGGCGUCGAGCGGCGGACGGGUGAGUAAUGCCUAGGAAAUUGCCCUGAUGUGGGGGAUAACCAUUGGAAACGAUGGCUAAUACCGCAUGAUGCCUACGGGCCAAAGAGGGGGACCUUCGGGCCUCUCGCGUCAGGAUAUGCCUAGGUGGGAUUAGCUAGUUGGUGAGGUAAGGGCUCACCAAGGCGACGAUCCCUAGCUGGUCUGAGAGGAUGAUCAGCCACACUGGAACUGAGACACGGUCCAGACUCCUACGGGAGGCAGCAGUGGGGAAUAUUGCACAAUGGGCGCAAGCCUGAUGCAGCCAUGCCGCGUGUGUGAAGAAGGCCUUCGGGUUGUAAAGCACUUUCAGUCGUGAGGAAGGUGGUGUAGUUAAUAGCUGCAUUAUUUGACGUUAGCGACAGAAGAAGCACCGGCUAACUCCGUGCCAGCAGCCGCGGUAAUACGGAGGGUGCGAGCGUUAAUCGGAAUUACUGGGCGUAAAGCGCAUGCAGGUGGUUUGUUAAGUCAGAUGUGAAAGCCCGGGGCUCAACCUCGGAAUAGCAUUUGAAACUGGCAGACUAGAGUACUGUAGAGGGGGGUAGAAUUUCAGGUGUAGCGGUGAAAUGCGUAGAGAUCUGAAGGAAUACCGGUGGCGAAGGCGGCCCCCUGGACAGAUACUGACACUCAGAUGCGAAAGCGUGGGGAGCAAACAGGAUUAGAUACCCUGGUAGUCCACGCCGUAAACGAUGUCUACUUGGAGGUUGUGGCCUUGAGCCGUGGCUUUCGGAGCUAACGCGUUAAGUAGACCGCCUGGGGAGUACGGUCGCAAGAUUAAAACUCAAAUGAAUUGACGGGGGCCCGCACAAGCGGUGGAGCAUGUGGUUUAAUUCGAUGCAACGCGAAGAACCUUACCUACUCUUGACAUCCAGAGAACUUUCCAGAGAUGGAUUGGUGCCUUCGGGAACUCUGAGACAGGUGCUGCAUGGCUGUCGUCAGCUCGUGUUGUGAAAUGUUGGGUUAAGUCCCGCAACGAGCGCAACCCUUAUCCUUGUUUGCCAGCGAGUAAUGUCGGGAACUCCAGGGAGACUGCCGGUGAUAAACCGGAGGAAGGUGGGGACGACGUCAAGUCAUCAUGGCCCUUACGAGUAGGGCUACACACGUGCUACAAUGGCGCAUACAGAGGGCGGCCAACUUGCGAAAGUGAGCGAAUCCCAAAAAGUGCGUCGUAGUCCGGAUUGGAGUCUGCAACUCGACUCCAUGAAGUCGGAAUCGCUAGUAAUCGUGGAUCAGAAUGCCACGGUGAAUACGUUCCCGGGCCUUGUACACACCGCCCGUCACACCAUGGGGAGUGGGCUGCAAAAGAAGUAGGUAGUUUAACCUUCGGGGGGACGCUUACCACUUUGUGGUCAUGAUG
rnacentral:rRNA from 1 species